rnacentral:rRNA from 1 species
AUUGAACGCUGGCGGAAUGCUUUACACAUGCAAGUCGAACGGCAGCACGGGUGCUUGCACCUGGUGGCGAGUGGCGAACGGGUGAGUAAUACAUCGGAACGUACCCAGUUGUGGGGGAUAACUAACCGAAAGGUUAGCUAAUACCGCAUACGACCUGAGGGUGAAAGCGGGGGACCGUAAGGCCUCGCGCAAUUGGAGCGGCCGAUGUCUGAUUAGCUAGUUGGUGAGGUAAAGGCUCACCAAGGCGACGAUCAGUAGCUGGUCUGAGAGGAUGAUCAGCCACACUGGAGCUGAGACACGGUCCAGACUCCUACGGGAGGCAGCAGUGGGGAAUUUUGGACAAUGGGGGAAACCCUGAUCCAGCCAUUCCGCGUGAGUGAAGAAGGCCUUCGGGUUGUAAAGCUCUUUCGGCAGGGAAGAAACGCUCUGGCUUAAUACGCCGGGGUAAUGACGGUACCUGAAGAAGAAGCACCGGCUAACUACGUGCCAGCAGCCGCGGUAAUAC